rnacentral:rRNA from 1 species
AUGAACGCUGGCGGCGUGCCUCAUACCUGCAAGUCGCGCGAACAGACGAGGAGCUUGCUCCUCUGACGUUAGCGGCGGACGGGUGAGUAACACGUGGAUAACCUACCUAUAAGACUGGGAUAACUUCGGGAAACCGGAGCUAAUACCGGAUAAUAUAUUGAACCGCAUGGUUCAAUAGUGAAAGACGGUUUUGCUGUCACUUAUAGAUGGAUCCGCGCCGCAUUAGCUAGUUGGUAAGGUAACGGCUUACCAAGGCAACGAUGCGUAGCCGACCUGAGAGGGUGAUCGGCCACACUGGAACUGAGACACGGUCCAGACUCCUACGGGAGGCAGCAGUAGGGAAUCUUCCGCAAUGGGCGAAAGCCUGACGGAGCAACGCCGCGUGAGUGAUGAAGGUCUUCGGAUCGUAAAACUCUGUUAUUAGGGAAGAACAAAUGUGUAAGUAACUAUGCACGUCUUGACGGUACCUAAUGAGAAAGCCACGGCUAACUACGUG